UGAAGGUGAGGCUGUACCAGGCUCUGAGCAUCCUGAUCUAGCUGUGGAUGUCCCUGUUCAUUGCAGGGAAGUUGGACCAGAAGGCCAUUAAGGGUCUCUUCCAACUCAAAAGAUUCUAUGAUUUUGAUUUAGAAAGCAAAUUUGAAUUAGAAACAGAGCACUUCUUUGUUCAGGGCACAAAGAGCUGUAUUACUGUAUAAAAGUUCUGUGCAGUGAGACCCUACCUUCAAUGGGCAGACUACAAUAAAACAAUAGAUGACCUGCAGCUCAAGACUGAAGCAUUGUACGGUGUCCUUUUGUGGCUUUAUAUUUAUUGGCUUUCUCUGGGAGCUUUACUUUCUAGGUGAGAGAUUGUUCCACUGACCAUCUCUGUUUACCACGUAAAGUCUCAGAACGCAAGCUUGCAGUGCUUAGGUAAACUAGUUGUCAAUGCUUGUAACAAAGAGUCUGUAACAAGAAGUAUAACGAGAGAAUAAUGAAUGAAUUUCAUGUGCAAUGUAAGAGUAUUGAAACUAGCUGUGAAAGACAAGUUUUGUCAAUGUAGUUAUAAUAACUGUAAUGAAGACACCUUUCCUCACUCAAAUUCUUGAACGCUAAACUUGUCUGAAGUUUGUCUUCAUUUUUGUACUCAUCUAACAAUUGCAUUCCCAUCUGCUGUUCCUUCUGCUCUGUUCACAUGGAGAUCAUCUGACGCCAUGCUUCUGAGAAAUCUCUUUCUCCUCCAGGAUUCAGUGUGGAUGAAGAUAGCAAACUCAUUUCUGAUUGGACCACUUUUGUAAGUGAAAUGGCUGGAAAUUGGUACCCUUAGCUUUUUCUAAGCUGGGAAUGAUCAUGCUUGCCUAAACUAUACUGCAGUGUUGAAAAUGAGGGUUUUCACAUAAGCAGAAUGGAACGGGUAGCAAACUAAGAUUACCUUUCUCUGAAAAACUUUUAACACUCCUUCCACCCUGCGAGCAGUGCUUGAAUUGUUGUGGUUUGCGAGUGAUUCAAUAAUCAAAAUCUUAUUUAUAGUGUCUUUGUAGCAUACUUCACAGAUUAGGAAUUUAGUCAGUGCAGUUAAUGUUCUUCCUGAAGCAGAAAACCACAAAUAAGGGACUGAAAUAUGAAGAGAGAGAGGGAGAUGGAAGAAAAAUGAAAAGAGUGUACCUUUGUCCAAGGUUUUCAUUGUGUCUAACCUUCUCUGUUACUCCUAUCCUUCUAAUUCUUUCAGGAGAUGAUAGCAAAAUGUUCUCUCACUAUAGAAAAGCAUUUUCAAAUUUCCAUGCUACUGCUUGAAACACGGUGAUGCUUUUAAAGCAGACAUUUUCCAUGGCCUUAACUGCUCACAGGUCUGUCCUAAAACCAAAGUAGCCACUGUGCAUACCUAGUAAGUACUGUUCAUAAACAUUUUUAUAAUGUUUGACCUUAAGAGUGACCUGAAGAUUAAUGGAUAUGUUGUAUCAGUUUUAAUGGGCCUCUUCUCCCUUGGUUGCACACAUGUGACUCCCAUUAGCCUUAAUGGGAGUUAUAUGCGUGCCUAGAGGUUAGACAAGACCUCUAAAGGUGCUGUUAUGCUCUGUUGUAUUAACGAUCUCAUAAUUGCUGAGGUGCUGCACCUUUGCAUUGAAAGCAAACUAAUUAAAUCAGUCUAGUAUAAGUUGGUAUACUAACAUUCUUGGCAUGUAUGUGGUUUUUCCUGAGACUCUCAGUAUGUAGAGAUAUAGGCCAAAUCAAAUGCGGAAUUUAAAUUUUAACUGUGACCUGGAUUUGUUUAUAAAUAUCUCUUUAAAACCCAUAUGGUUUUGUGAAUUUGAUUUCUAAGAAGAAUGACUGUUCAUGCUAAUACAGGGGAAGAUGAUGAAUGCAAUGUUUUAUCAUUAAUGUGUGUAUUGAGAGAAGAGACUGAACUGGUUCUUUUUUUUUAAUGUUCCAAAUCAUGUACUUUGAAAAAUGCAGUUAGGUCUUGAGGAUUAAUAUGAAUUUUGAUGUUGAAUUUUAAUUAUAGCACUGUUACUCAUUUCUACCAAGUGCCGUUAGACAAAGCACUUCACCUUUCUUUGAUUUCCCGGUAUGUAAAAUACCUGCUUGAUUCAUAGCAUUCUAGACAUAAAUUAAUAUCUGUACUAUGCUUUGAAUACGUAAGAUUUGUCCAUCCAAAUCUGUUCUACUGGCAUGAUAAUGACAACUCAGGAGGUGGAAAAAAACAAAGUAUCUAGCCAAUACAGAUAGCAAAAGCCCUAGUAGAAAUGUAGAUCUGGUGACGGAACUAAUUCUGUUUUAUAGCUUUAUGAUGCAUAAGACAUUGUGAUUGUAAUGAAAAAUCUUUGUUGUGUUUUCUUGGGGGGGAGGAGGUUGGAAGAAGUGGUAUGGUUGGAAAAUCAUUUGACAUUUUUAUCAAUCAAAAUCAUUAUUAGAAUUUGACAGUUACUAUUAAAGUUUGUGUGCUGUCUUCCAUGACUGUAUAUGUAAGUUUGAAAAUUAACCAUGAUGUAGUCUCCUUUGAAAGUAUAAAUCUGGGGAAAGAAUGAAUCUUAAUAUUUAAUUUCCAGAGGAAAAUGUUGUGGUAACCUUCACAUCUUAAAUUUGUUUUCUGUUUUUCUUGUAUUAGAUGAAAGUACUUUAGAAACUCAAUUUUGUGAUUCCCUUUAUUAUUUAUGAGGUAAUGGAAAGAUCUCACAUCUGUUCUGAUUGAUGUAGUUUUUUUAUUUUGCCUUUACAAGGUUCAUAGUCUUUAUUAGAAAGCAGCAAAUUUUCAUGACUAUGAUGCUAAAGUCUUUUCUGUAACUGGACAUACCUGGAAAAAUCAUGUGAAUGGUUAAUGGUUUUGUAUCUGACUUUUGAGUCUGAUAUAUAUAAUGUAUGGUAUAGUUUCAUCAAAGUUUUCUUUAUCAUGUGAAUUUAAAAAAUAAAAGUAUAUUUACACUUAGUAACCUGGGGUUAUUUCUCCAUUACUAUUUUAAAGAAGAAAUAGGUCAAGUGUUACGUUAAAUAUAUAUAGAAUGUUGUUAAAGAAACUUGAAAAUGAAAGCUGAACUUAGCUUAUUUCAGCUUUUGUACAUAUGCUUACCCAGAAAAAAGAAGGAACGGGUCUACUUUAUAACCUUUGCAAACUGCAUACCUCCUAAAUAUGAAGAUUGUAGGUGUCUCUGUAUACUUGAGGUUCUUUGUCCUUUCUUGCUGGCAUACUCUGAACUCCUAGUCAUAGGGAUUGCAUUCUAUGUAUUUUACAGUGUCAAGCACUAGCCUUCUCAUGAAAGAAGCUUCUACUGGAGAAAAAAAAAGGAAAUCUAUUUUUGCUACUAUUCAUAGACCAGUUUUCUAAGGAGAAUAAUCAACAUCUUCAAAAUGAUUUAGCUAUUUUUUUUCCCUUUGUCAAGAAUAAUGAGACUUUUAUUAUUUUUGCCAGAAUAACGGCUGACGUGAAAUGAGUGGUUUAUUAUAUUCCCCACAAUUUAAGGGUGAUUGAAUGCUGGAGCAUGUUGUCCAGACAGGUUUUAGAGCCUCCAUCUCUGGAGAUUUUCAGGGCUUGAUUGUACACAGACCUGAGCAACCUGCCCUACUUUACCCCGCACUGAGCAGACCGUUGGACAAGAUGACCUUCAGAGCUCCUUGCCAACCUCAACCAUUCUGUGAUUCUGUAAUUUGUGUGGUUACCUUGCCACAACUUUUGCAUUAUAUACCAACUUGCAAAUACAAAUUCAAAUAUUUAAAAUGGUAAUUGAGAUUAAGUACUCCUAUUUUAUCCCUAUCUUAAAUUUAAAAGCAGUAGUUAGCAUAACAUGGAUAGCUAUGAAUGUCAUCAAGCUAAUUAACAGAAUAUAGACAGUGUGCUGUACUGAAUACAUUACAGUUUUCUCAGAAUGGAAAGAUUAUACAGAGAAUUGACAUGAAAGUUUUUAAUGCAAGUUGCUUCAUAUUUUAGCCUCAGUUGACAUACUACUAAAUAAAUAAUGCAAUAAAUACUAAUGCCAUUAAUAACUUAUGUUUAAUUUUAUACAUGUGCUCUUGAUUGCCUUAAAAUUGUUUUUAUAUUAUGUGUUCAUAGUUCUAACAAGAAUGAACUAGUUAUACCUUUUUCAGUUUUUUGAUAUCCAGCAGUUAAAUUUUAACUGAGUCAGAAAUAUUAGGUGAUUUAGUGAGAAGUUAAAAACUUGAAUCUUAAAAGCAAGAUAUUGGGGUUCUUCUGAGUUGUGGUCUGUUUCUGAAAUCCACUGUAGUUCUAUAUAUAACUUCUUACUGAUUCAUAAGUUUGUUUCUGUUUACACCAAUUCUGUGAGAAGGUAGCUGAGUUGUUAAAUUAAAGAUGAGCCUGCAUUUUAGCCUCUCUGUUUCAUAGUUUUUUGCCUCUAUUAACAAUUUUAAGGUUUAGUGAUGUAAAAACUGAGAUGGUUUAGGCUCGGGCGCCCUUGACUUCUGACUGUAGAUGUUACUGAAACAGUGCAAGUAGAAAACAGAUCUGUGAUACCAUCUCAGUAGCGAUUCGUGUGAACUUGCGCCAAGUGGAGAAGAGAUUGGUGAUACCAUUCCAGUAGAAAUUUGUUUAAACUUGCCCCUGGAGCUCUUGAGGAUUUUAUAACCUUGUCAGUCAUUAGAUAGUAUUCCAUAAAGUUGUUGUAUAUACCAAAUAUGUUAAAAAGCACCAAUUAGAACUGGGGAAGAGUGUGCUACAGUGCAUGUGCUCAAAUAAUUGUGAGGAUAAUAAUAAAUCACUCUAGACUAAUGAUUCCUGUAUGAACUUAAUAAGGAAAUAAUAAAGAAAGACAUGAAAACGUAACAUUGUUUUUGGUAACCUGUACAUUUUAUUACCUCUACCUUCACAGUUCAAACAUGGUACAAAAUAGAUGGUUUCAUUUGUUAGUGGUCAUUGGAGAAGUUGAUUUGAUGUGCUUUCUCUGCUUGUGUUGUUCCCAGAUACAAAAAUCAGGAUAUUACUACAAAAAUUUCAGACAUCAAGCUAUGCAUGGAAUAAGCUAAAAAGGAUAUGAACCUGCCUUGAUUUAUUCUUUACUGUUCUUCUAUAAUGUGAUGCAAAUUAUUUUUGUCCUUUAUAUUUGUGUUUGGUUUUUCUCUGGGACAACAGAGGCUGACUUUGUGUUCUUUUAUAAGUGAAUAGUUUGUCCCGUUCAGUUCCUUGUGCAGCUAAUGUCACAGAAAAAAUAUUAUAGGAAUUCAGUGCUGUUUAACUCAUUUUUCAUAAGCCACUGUUGCUGGUAACUAGGAUUAAGGGCCUAGUAUGAUUCUGAAUGAAGAUCUGUGAUGGAUAAACAUGAGUGCUGUUUUUCCUAGGGUAAACAUUAGUAAUGACUUCAUCAAGCUGAUACAGAAUUUUCAAAGUUAUGGUUUAUUUCAAAUUAGACAAGAUUAUCAGCAAACCUGUUCUUUGCCCUGUAACGGAAGAAAAAAAAUCAUAUGAUUAUUUAUGUGAUUGUAUAUGCAAAAUCAACUGAGUAAUGCAGAUACCUAAAAACAGGAGGAGAGCUGGAUUUUAGAGGAAAUGUCUGUUGUAUUCUGAUAUCAACAGCAACUUAGAUCACAUUGGUAUCACAUCAGAAUAAUGUUUUACAGCCUCUGCCAAUUUAAAAAUCAAAUGGAUGUUAGAUUUGUAUAGAACAACACAUUUGACUGACAGAAAAGGCUGUUAUAGAUGGAUGUGAUGUUCUAUCCUUGUAUAACAAGGGUUUUGACUGACAGUUUAACAAUAGUACACUUUUUAUCCCAUAUAUUCUAAAUGAUUAUUAUUACAGUACAAAGCAUUUUUGCACUUGCUGUAUAUAGAUAACGUACACUUUUUGUGUAAUAACAUUCAAGAAGAGAGGGUUCUUUUAUGUCUUAGAAAUGAUGACAAUUAAUGAAGGCUCUGUCUGACACUUACAACCAAUGUCAAGGAUUGCUAUUGUGGUGCAUGGUAAUGUAAAAACUAUUGGGUACUUAGCUCCCAGUGAAGGAUCAGCAUAACUCCUGACACAUGCUAUAUAGUGGAUGAAAUAAAUCUCCUUGGAGAGCAAUAGAAAUAUUUCUUAAACUGAAGAGUACCCUUUCUUUGUUAUAAUCCUUCUUGUCAGCUUUGCAGCUCUUUGCAUCUCUGUAAAAUGCAGUUUUAAUCUGAAAAGUUACUGUUUGAAAUGGUACUUAUUAGUGCAACAAAUUUGCUUUCUUUGCUCUGCAGUCAACAUUUCUCUGAUAAGAGACUAAGGAUUCUUCUUCAGAAAAAUGGCCAGAGAUAAGGAAGAUAGGCUUUUUCUUGUUUAGGUAUGUGUCUAAUUUUCUUUUGAGGAAUUGCCUUCUUUUAGUAGUAUCCUAUCAUUUUAAGAUUUUCACUUUGAAUUCAUGGUGUCCAUUGUUCUUCAGAUCUUUGCAGAAUUAAGCAUGCUAACUUGCUUCUUAAAGCAUGGAUGUCCCCCUUUGUAUUGAUCUUCAUGAGACCAGAGAAUUUGAAAAGCCAUGGCUGUCAGAAGAAGUCACUGGUGAGAGGAAGAAGGCAAGCAUCACUCCCAUUUUCUGGAACAGGAAAAAGGAACACCGAGGGAACUACAGGCUGGUGAGCCUCACAUCUCUGCCUGGGCAGAUCAUAGAGUAGAAUCUUCUGGAAGCUAUCUUAAGGCACAUGUGAGAUGAAGAGAUGAUCUGAGACAGCCAGCACAGCUUCACCAAGGGCAGAUCAUGCUUGAUCAAUCUAAUGGCCUUCUGUGAUGGAGUGACAGCAUCAGUAGACAAAGGAAAGGCAACUGAUGUCACCUGCCUCAACUUCCACAAGGCCUCUGACAUGUUCGCAUGCCACAUCCUUAUCUCUAAAUUGGAAAGAUAUGGAUUUGAGGCGUGAACAAUUCAGUGGAGAAGGAAUUGGUCGCAACAAGAGGGUUGUGGUCAAUGACUCUGUGUCCAGGUGGAGGCUGGUCACAAGUGGUAUCCCCCAGGGGCCUGACUUGGAACCGGUGCUCUUCAACAUCAACAAGCAAGACAGUGGGAAUGAGUCUAGCCUCAGCAAGUUUGCUGAUGACAUUAAACUGAGUUCACCACAGCUGACACAACAGAAGGAAUGGAUGCCAUCCAGAGGGACCUGGACAGGCUUGAAAAGUGGCCCACAUGAACCUAAUAAGUUUCAGCAAUGCCAAAUACGGUAUGUCCUAACCAAAUUAGGACAAUCCCAGAUAUGUGUACAGACUGAGAGAACUCACUGAGAGCAGCCCUGUGGAAGCAGACUUCGGGAUCCUGAUGAACUAAAGCUGGACAUGAGCCAGCAGUGCGUGCUUGCAGCCUUGAAGGCCAACCAUAUCUUGGGCUACAUCAAAAGAUGGGUGGCCAGCAGAUUGUACCCCUCUACUCUGCCCUCAUGAGGCCCCAUCUGGAAUACUGAGUCCAGGUCUGGAGCCUCCAGCACACACAAGACAUGGAGCUUUCGGAGCUGGUCCAGAGGAGGGUCACAAACAUGAUCAAAGGACCGGAGCAUCUCUCUUAUUAAGAAAGGUUGAGAGAGCUGGGCUUGUUUAGCUUGGAGAAAAGAAAACUUCAGAGAGACCUCAUUGUGGCCUUUCAGUACUUGAGGUGAGCUUAUAAACAGAAGGGCGACCAACAGUUUACAUGUUCUGAUAGUGAUAGGACAAGGGGAAAUGAGGCUAAGUUAGAUAUUAGGAAGAAGUAUUUUUCUCAAAGGAUUGUGAGGCACUGGAACAGGUAGUCCAGAGAAGCUGUAGAUGCUCCAUCCCUGGAGACAUUCAGGCCAGGCUGGAUUGGCCCCUGGGCAGCCUGAUCUAGUGGAUAGCAACCCUGUCCACAGAAUGAGGGUUGGAACUAGAUGAUCUCUAAGAGCCCUUCCAACUCAAGCCAUUCUAUGAUUUGAUACUAGCCAUUCUAUGAUAUGAAAAUAGGCUUUCCGUGCACUGCUCUCCACGCAGGAGGGCUUUGAAGGAUUCCAACAACCAAACCCAUACCCCAAGAAAGAGACUAAAUUAACCAUAUGAAUCUGUUGACCUGAUGGCAUGGACUUUUGCAAAAUCUAUAUUGGUGACUUGACUGAAGUUUUCUGUCUAACAGUCACAAAUGAUGACACAGUUAGUGAAAUGUAUAAUUUGAAUGACCCGUUAGUUGUGUACAUCUCCAGUUCAUGUGUGCAGAGUUUAAUCUAUCUUAAUUGAGAAAAUGAGAGCCUUCAGUCAGAUUUUCAGGCAAGAGGAAGUCUUUCCAGUACAGCUGAAAAUAUUCAUGCCUUUCUGGACACUCAGAAUUGAACAUGCUUGACCAUACUUGAGGAUGUAACAUGAAGCGUGGCUGCAGUUCUCAAUAUAUAUUGUUCUAUGCUUUCAUGGCAUUAUAGAAUUGUUGAAUCAUAGAAUAUCCCAAGCUGGGGACCCACAAGGAUCAUUGAGUCAAAAUCCUAGAUUCCUUAAGUAUCUAAAAAUCAUACCUAAAAUUCAGUAAAAGGAGUAUUGUGAUUUGUGAACUGCACUAUUUGUGUGCAUUGUACGAUCCCACAAGCAAUAGCCACAGUGCUACAUCAACCUUCUUUUAUGCAACCUUACCUAAAAAUUGUACAGAAAAUUCAUUCAGUAUUCAUGCCAGUGAAUUUUCACAUUCAUUCCAACUCAUCACUGGAGAUAUAAAAUGUUAUUUUAAUAAAUGCAGAUGAUCAAGAA